UCUUAAUUAUGAAUUUAAUGAGACAUAUUUAGAGAAGAGUAUAAUAAAGUGUAUGUGAUAUUAUAUUUUCGUGAACCAAAUUUAUGUGGUAGUAUAUAUAUGGUAUAAUCUUUUCGUUUACAAAAAGAUAUGGGUCCAAUAAAUAAAAGCUUUGACUAAAUGAUUGUUAGAGAAAUUAAAGGUAACAUAUUGUUUGUCCAAAUCAAAGUAAGACCAGAAUAUUAUUAGUUAAUAAAAGAGUCCAAACAAUUUUUUUAAUUAGAUUUAUUAAAACUCCUUCCCUUUUAAUAGUAUUGAUAACUCUAAUAUUCAUGGUUUAUGCAUAUAUUCAGAUGCUACAAUCCGACCGCAUGGCUUGCGACGGACUCCAACGAAAAAGGUACAUACUAUCAAAAACCCUUUAAUGAACGAAAAGUAGCCACAUUUGAUCUUACAUACAUUUUAAAUAAGCCUCAAAUGUUAGUGGAUAGUUGAGACACACAUGUGUUCAUGGACGUGGUAUUAAUAUUUUGUUAUCUAUGAAAAUGUGUUCAUGAUAUUUUAGCUAUUCGUUAGAUCUUUUGGUACGUCAAUGUUAUGGUCUAACACACGCAUAUAAUUAUUUGCUUAAGUUAGCCCUUUUGUCACAAAAUUAUUUAAAUAUUAAUUUUAAGUGACAUUAAAAAUAAUAUUAAACACACUAUGUGUUAACAAUCUCAGUAUAUUAGAAGAUAAUGUCAUUAAUAAUAUUAAAAAUUCUUAACAAAUUUUAAAAUCCAUAAACUCUAAAUAUUAAACACACUAUGUGUUAACAAUUUCAAACAAAUUUUAAUUCAGAUAAAGGCUCCACAUUUAAAGCUGAAGAGAACAUAAUCGUAGCAUGCGCAAAAUGUGGUGCAUUACUUCGGAGAGCACUGGUAUGGACUCCAUAACAGGCGAACCAACAUUCAUAAUUUGUUGUAACUAUGGCCAAAUAAAGCUACCCCCGCUCAGGCAACACCAGCUAUGUUAGAAGAACUUAUUCAUGCUGGGUGGUUUAGAGAUACUAUCCGAGUCUAUAAUAUUGUACUGCUUGAAUGAAAAUGGAUUAUAGUGUGGUGCAUACGCCUGGUCCUUACACUAUACGGAUCCAAGGUCAAACCCACCACAUAAUUGGCUCGAUUAUACCACGACAAGGCCAUCCCCCAGAAUAUCUCCAGUUUUAUAUAUUUCAUACAGGCAACGAAGUCAGAAACCGGUUAAAUGCGAUGGGGCAAACCUCAACCAAAGACAAUCUUGAUGAGACAACCUUAGAGCACCUCAUCGAGAUGAUUGACGAGAAUAAUUGUUUAGCUAAGAAUUUCCGACGGGCACGUGAUCACUACGAAAGCGGUGGUCAAGAGUUUACUAUUAGGUUGCUCCAAGAUAAAGGGAAAGGGAAAGAAUACGAUCUUCCAAGUACGAGUGAAGUCGCAGGCCUUAUCGUAGGGGAUAUAUCAUCAACAAUUGGAGUACGAGAUAGAGUGGUUCAAUUCCAAUCUGACACUUUGCAGCAGCUACGUGAUGAUCACCCUCUAUUCAUGAGCCUCCAAUAUCCUCUUCUGUUUCCAUAUGGUGAGUAUGGUUUUCACCCCGAGAUCUCAUUACAUCUUGAGACAGGCACUUCAAGAACAAGGCAAUUCCUAACCAUACGCCAAUUCAAGGAUUGAAAUUGAUUAAAGCCGGCCGUCUCCUCCAUCAAUAUGUUGUGGACGUUUAUACGGCAAUUGAAGAAGAUCGGUUAAGGUGGGCGAGGAAUAAUCAAGAUGUCCUGAGAGCCGAACUAUACAGUAAUGUACUCGAUGCUGUUAGCAAGGGUGGCACAGAUGCUAAAAUUAUUGGUCAACGGUUCAUACUGCCUCCAAGUUUCACCGGUGGACCCCGAUACUUAGUUAAGAAAUACCAUGAUGCGAUGGCUAUUUGCAGAGAAUAUGGGAAUUCAAAUUUGUUUAUCACAAUGACGGCCAAUCCUAACUGGAGAGAGAUUAAAGAUCAUCUUGAUAUAUAUGGUGGAGACUCUCCUAAUGAUAGACUAGACAUUGAAUGUCGAGUCUUUAAAAUGAAGUUAGAUCAGCUACUCGAGGAUUUCAAAAAAGGAACUUUCUUCAAGCCAUACACAGCAGCUCUCCACAUAAUAGAGUUUCAAAAAAGAGGGCUCCCUCAUGCACAUAUAUUAUUGUGGUUGGGAAGCUCUUCCAGAACACCAAGUGCAGAGGAAGUAUAUGAGAUUAUUUCAGCCGAGCUCCCAAACAAAGAAGAAGAUCCAGAGGCUUACAAUUUAGUAACAAAACACAUGAUCCAUGGUCCAUAUGGUGUCAUUAAUCGGAAGUCACCAUGUAUGGAGAAUAAUGUGUGCACGAAAAAGUAUCCUCGCCAGUAUAAUGACAAUAGUUCGAUUGACAAAUCAGGAUAUGUAUUAUAUCGUCGCCGCCGGAAUGAAAAUGCGUAUGUGGUAAAGGAUGGGGUGAUUCUAAACAACACUUUCAUUGUACCUCAUUACAUUAAGCUUCUAAAGAAGUAAAAAAGCUCAUAUUAAUAUUGAAUGGUGUAAUCGUACAAGCGCAGUUAAGUACUUAUUCAAGUAUAUAACCAAAGGUGUUGAUAGAGCAUCCGCAGUUAUUGAAAGGGGAAAUACGGCAACUGCCUCUGACACAGUGGCUUCUGGCGAACCAACUGAAAGAGUUAUGAAGCAACGGAAUGAGAUCAAAGAUUAAGUCGAUGCUCGGUAUUUAUCAGCUUGUGAGUCUAUGUGGUGGACUUUCGCAUUCCACAUCCACAAAAGAAAGCCAUAAGUUGAGAAGCUUAUUGUUCACUUAGAAGGUUAACAUAACAUCACAAUUAAAUCAACUGAUAACCUCGGCCGUGUGAUCCGCAAGCCAGGUAUUGAGAAGAUGAUGUUCACUGAAUGGAUGGUCUUAUGCAGAAGGUCAGAAUUUGCACAAAAAUUAACUUAUGUGCAAAUACCAGAAAUGCAAACAUUAACUUAUGUGCAAAUACCAUAAUAUUUCGUAUGGAACAACAGUACCAAAGUCUGGUCCGAACGCAAGAGAGGAAAAACCAUUGGGAGGAUUGUAGCCGUCCAUCCAUCAGCUGGUGAUCGUUACUAUCUAAGGAUUCUCAUAAACAAGAUUAAGGGUCCUAGAAGUUAUGACGAGUUAAAAACCUUUAACAAUGUGAAAUACCCUGACUUCAAAUCAGUUUGCCACGCAAGAGGCUAUUUGGACAAUGAUGUUGAAUGGCUUGAGAGUAUGACUGAGGGUUCUAGAAUGGCUACCCCAUUCCAACUCCGUGAUAUGUUUGUCACAUUCCUAAACAAUUGCUUCGUUGCAGGCCCUAAAAACUAUGGAAAUCAAUGAGCGAGGACAUACUUCACAAGAGGCAACGACUCUUAGGUCAUACAAAUCUGGAACUGGAUGAUGAGACCCUUGAGCAAUACACAUUAAUCGAAGUGGAAAAGUUGAUGCGCAUGCAUGAUCGCUCAUUUGAUGAUAUUAAAGAGAUGCCAAAGAUCAAACAAGUUUUGCUAAAAGAAUUGGAGAACAGUUUGUGGAACCAAGAAAUAGAUUACGAUGUUGCUGAGGAAACACUAUGACAUGACACGCAGUACAACUUACUUAAUGCUGGGCAGCGUGCGAUUUACGAAUCAGUCUUAGACUCGGUUGAUAAAAAGGAUGGAAAUUAUUAUUUGUAUAUGGCGCAGGAGGCACAGGGAAAACAUUCCUAUACCAAGCCAUUAUAUCCAGACUUCGCUCGAGAAAACAAAUCGUUCUGCCGGUUGCUUCUUCAGGAAUAGGCGCAUUACUACUACCUAACGGGAGGACAGCUCAUUCUCGCUUCAAUAUUCCUUUGAAGCUCUCUGCAGACAAGCUCUGCAACAUCAAACCAGGUACAAUGCUGGCUGAACUAAUUGAAAAAACGGACCUCAUAAUUUGGGAUGAAGCACCUAUGACACAUAAGCAUGCUUUUGAAGCACUAGACAAAACGUUGAAGGACAUAAUGUCUAUGAAAAAUCCACCUGCAGAGGAUCAAAAUUUCGGCGGCAAGACCGUUUUGUUAGGUGGUGAUUUUAGCCAGAUCUUACCAGUAAUUUUACAAGGUAGUAGAGCUGAUACUGUCUUAACUUCAGUAAGUCAUUCAUAUCUAUGAGAUAGCUGCCACAAGUUCUCUUUAAAAACAAAUAUGCUAGUCAAUCAGGACAAGAAAUAAUUCUCUGAGUGGCUUCUCAAGGUCGGGGAAGGUCGUCUAGAAUCGGUAGAAGAAGAUGAGGAUGAUGGCUACCAUGAACAAAUGAUAAUUCUCGACAAUUCAUUGGUCCAAGAGCCUAAGGAUGACUCUUUAACAAGUUGUCGAUGCCGCAUAUGGAGAUGUCAACAAAAUAAAAGCCUCCCAAAGUUCUUACACUGAUAGAACUAUACUUACACCCCGAAAUGAUACAGUCCAUGAAAUCAAUGCAUAUACAAUCUCCAAAACUGACGGGGAGUCAAGAGACUACUACAGUUACGAUAGCUUUGAGAUUUCGGAUACUCAAUCCAAUCAAAAUAAUACAUUAUAUGCGAUUGAGUAUCUCAAUUCCAUGGAAUUUCCAGGAUUGCCUUCUCAUAAGAUCACUCUCAAAGUUGGGGCCCCAAUCAUGCUUCUGCGAAACAUAAAUUAAAAAAAGGAUUAUGUAAUGGUACCCAUAUGACCCUAACCCACAUAGGGGAACGAGUGCUUAAAGCAUAAAUAGUCACUGACUCACACAUUGGAGAUGAAGUUUUGAUCCCAAGAAUUGUUCUCUUGCAUGAUGAAACAAAGCUGCCGUUCACUUUACGUCGACGACAAUUUCCUAUCAGAUUGUGUUAUGCAAUGACAAUCAACAAAAGCCAGGGGCAAAGUUUAAAAGAGGUUAUCCUAUAUCUACCUAGACCGGUCUUUGCACAUGGUCAACUCUAUGUGGCCCUCUCACGUGUAACAAGCAAAGCAGGACUAAAAAUCAUCAAAGGUGAAGAUUCACACCCACGAAAAGUGAAGAACAUAGUCUACAAGGAAAUCUUCAACCGCCUUCGCUCCCAUGACGGUACGUAAAAUUUUAAAUUCAGAAUCUCAUCCAACAUGUUUUUAUAUUUAUUUAUCUAAUAAUUCACAUUUAUCUGAUACUCAGUAUUCUAUCUACCAACACAAUAAAUCAAAGUUAAAACUCCUUCCCUGAUGAUGGAUAUCUCACUACUUCCAAGUACGUCUACCUAUUCUAUUAAUUAGAUAAAUUGAUUUCUAUUUCUAAAUUAUGUCCACUAAUUUAUUUUAAAAUAAUUUCAGGCUCUCUAUCUCGAAAAAGUCCAAUCACAUCUAUAUCCCUCUUCCUCAAUAAGUUCACCAUCUUAUCUAUGAUUUUCGCUUUUUUUUGUUUUAAGCUUAGUAUCUGCUCUUAAUAAUAUGAUAAGCGCUUUAUCUAUGCGCUGUUUUUACUGUUUUUUUAUACUUCAUAUCAGUGAAAAGAAGCAAUAUUUUGUCACAAAUAUAAUAUGCAUGAGAAGAUACAGUUUUCAAAUAAUCCACUUAACAAUACUUAUAAGAUUCGUUUAAUCAUUUUAAAAACCAUUGUUGACUAGUUUUAUUAGCACCGAGAGUAAGAGGCCAUUUGUUUAAAUGAAUUCGCCUCCGCAUAAACACCAUUUUCAUGAAAGCAAAUUUAUUUAAAUUAACAUGUUCUUUUAAAAAAAUUGUAUAUAUGUUAAAAAGCAAAUUAUUUUGAAUGCUUUUAUUUUUAUCAACUAUACGGUACUGAAAAUAAAAAAGUAAGCUUAGUCCUAUUAAAAACAAUCAAAAUUUAAAGUAGCAGCCCCAUAGCUCAAACAUAUGUAACUUUUAAUUCUAAAUAUAUAACUCCAUUAUAUUUGAAAACCUAUAUAUUUCAUACGAAACGAAAUACCUAUAACAUCUCAACAUAAUUAAAUAACUUUGACCGCUCAAUCAAAUACGUCAUGCACUACAAAGAGCGAAUACCAUGUCAAUAAUGGAAUGAACUCGAGCGCAAUUCACGUUUUCAACAAAACAAAUCCAUCAAGACAAAUCCAAGCCAUAGAGAGAAAAAAUAAAAGCUCAACCUCUUCCUACUCCUUUUAUUCCUGUCCCACCAAAUUAUGUAUUAUUCUUUAAUUUAUGUAUAAGCGAACCCAACAAUUUUUAUUAGUUAUUUUUCUUUACAUAUAAAAAAUAAAAAUAGUUACAAUACAAUUUCAGUAGAAAUUACUAUCUCAAAUUAAAAAUACGCAAGUUUAAUUCAGUUUUAUAAUAUUAUAGAAAAAAUCCGGGCGUAGUCCAGAAAACCCUCCAGUGUUAAUAAAUAUAGGCUUUAAGCACAUAUAAUCAUAUUUGAGUUUGUUAUAUAAAAGCUAUAAUGGAUAACUAGAGCUUCGCCUGCACGGACGUACGAAUAUUGGUUAUUUUAUUUUUAUAAAUUAAUAUUUAUUUUUUUAUGAUUAGUGUUAUAUAUUUUAGAUGUUGCUAUAUAAUAAAUUGUAUUAAAAAAUUCAAGAUUGAAUCUGGUAACAUAGUUAUUUUUCGUAACAAAUAUUCCGAACCCGUUUCAGAUACAUCAGUUAUUUUGAUAUUUUUAGGUUCCUAUACAUCAGAUCCGAACUAUCUAACCCCGAGAGAACCCAACUCGAAUCCCACAGUUACAUUCAUCCUUGACAGGUAAGAGAAAAUCUUCAAGAAGUAAUCGUUAUUCUCAUCCAUACUCCAAGUAUCAACCAUCUUGAAGGUAUAUAAUUUGUGCUGUAAGUGAAUUCUAUUUGGUAGAGACUUUGAAAGAUAUAACCUAUCCAGUGUAGAUCAUGUAGAAGCAGCUGGCGUAUACAACUCGAUCUUCCUUAACAUAUGAUCUCCAACAUUGAGAAUGAUCAGAUUCAUCGCUUUUUAUGAUCUUUCAAGCCUUUCAGCUUCCUCUUUUACCAACCGCUCCCUGUAAACAUCUUCAUCUUCAUCCUUCUGAAUCACUUAUGCAUAAGUUGACAUCGACUCUUCUAAUACAUCCUUUAAACCAAGGAUAGACAGAUGCACUAGCAUCCUCUUCUUCCACAAUGAGAAGUCUCCUUUCCCAUCAAAUAGCUCCACCUCAAUUCUUGCAUUCGCCAUUGAGAUCAACACCAACCAAGGAUCUGAUACCACUUUGUCGAAAUAACAACCACACAGUGGCAAAAUAGUUUGACCUGGAACCAUAAUCAAACACACAAAAUCGCUGACACACUCUUUGACAAACUCGCCGACGUGAGUUAAGUAUGAGUUUGCAGAAUAAUGGAGAUCAGAAGAAGAACUUGGAAAAUAUAGAAGAUUGACACUAGAAAUUGUUUACUUAGAGUUUACCUAGAAUGGCUAAGCCUCUGAGGCCUGGCAAGAGGCAAUCUACUAUAAUGUUAAAAACAAAGAUAUAGAACCUCUCUCUCUCUCUCUUAAGCUUACAAAUCAACUUGCUUGAGAGAGAGAUAAGAGAAAAUUUGAGCUCCUCUUAUAUAGUAGGAGUCUAUUACAUUAACCUAGUUGGAUUAGGGCAUUCCCCGAUUUCCAUAAAUCUAUUAGGAAUAUUUCCAAAAUUCUUGCAACUUCCACAACUCCAUGUGGUUAUAUUUCCAAGAUUCUAUCAGCUUCCAUAAUCCAUAAAAGUGAUAUAUUUUUUUCGUAUAUGACAUCAUUUUCUUGGUUUAAGUUUUGCGAUAUUGUUUGAUUACCAUCACCAAAUCCUGACGAAUCGCAACAUAUAACUCUUUUUUGGCUGGAAGUGAAACUUGUAAUUGAAUGAUAUAAUCUGGAAAUCAACAAUGAAAACCCCAGUAAAGUAUAUAUCCACACCAGCCUUUUCCCAAACAUAAUUCGAAGAAAAGAUCAAACUAUUCAGACAUGAAUUUUUUUUUAACACUGGUUCAUUAUGCUAUUAAAAGCUAUGAAAAACGUUACAUAGACGUUACUAAAACCAAAACUUUUACCUGCCUUACUGCAUCACCCAGAGUUGGCCUAUGAGAUUCAUUCCUGGCGGUCCGCCUUGCGUCAUACCGAAGAUCUCUUAUAAGUUUUUUUUCCAAUAUUCUGCAUAGUUUGCAGUCUUCUCCGGGAAUUGAAAAUCAGACUUCCUGGUAUAUAAGCAUUAAUGAACCCUCAGUCAUACCACUGGACCAAGGGGCCUUCCACAACACAUAUGAAGAUUUAGAGCUCUAAAUUUGGACACCAUCUAAGAGCUCAAUCAUUCGUUCUCGGGAUGCAAUUUCAUUAUCAUAUCUCUACAUUUCUAUGUUGCUAACUCGGAAAAUGGAUUCAGAAUUACAGCUUUUAAAUUGCUUUAUAAGUCAGAUACAAAUCAGGUUGAGAUCACUAUUAAAGCUUAGAAUCAGAAUGCACAUCUCGUAUAUUACCUCAAAAUUAAGGCAUCAGAUAUAUUGGCAAGCCUUAUGAUCUAUGAAACACAAUAUUUGGUGAAGGACAAUCAACAACUCACGCACCAAUAACUUAAGUCCAAGUUUCAAGUUAUUCAUAAAUAAAAGCUAAAUACUUGACAAUCCUUUAGAUCUAGGAAACACGAUCUCUGGUGCAGAUAGACUUUCUGAAAACAUCUCAUUGGUACACACAAAACAUACCCAAUUGAACGGCAGGGGCUGACCCUGAAAUUUUGGCGGUCGUAAGCUGUUUAGUAAAUGUUUAUAUAUAUAUAUUUUUUUUCUUUGCAAAUUGGGGGCCUAUGUCAAUGUAAUUAUUUUUCAAAAUUUUUGUGAGUUAUAGGCGAAUGUUUCAUGAGGCUUUGUCCAAGACCGGCUUUGUAGGAAGUUCAGUUCCAAGCAACCCUUUGGACAUGAGAUAUUUGAUUAAUUUACACCUUGGAAUAGUCCUCUUCUCCAAACUGUAAUCAAGUACUGAAUGGUUCGAGACUACAGCCUUUACUAUGCAAUUCAUAUCAUUCACCAGAAACUCAAUCUUCUUCAUCACCAUCUACGGCGAUUUUUUGUAGUAAAACCAAGUGAUUCAACUAGGUAAAAGACCAUAAAGUUAUUACCUUUGUGAACAUUAGAACCAGCACUUGCAGAGGAGAAGGAAUUGGAAAAAUCAUAUACAUUUUGAAACUCUAAAGUUAAGUCAUUUCUGCAGCUCCGUAGAUUUUUUCCGUGCAGUAUCAAAGAGAACAUAAGAAAACAAACCAAGCAUAUUUCGAUGAUCAAUCUCAAAACUUCUUCAAAUCAACUCAUCGAGUAUGACUCACAUAAUUUAAAUUACAAAAAAUUGCCAAGAACAACAAUAUUUGAGAGGGUGUAAACCCUAAAUAAGUGUAUUUGGCCUUUCAUGGAUCUUAUGUGGGCCUUAGAUGAGUUUUAUAUGAGUUUACUGGAUUAAGGAUUGUUGGAGAUUGUGACAUUGGAACCUUGGAAUUACAUUUUGGAAAUACAUGCAUUAAUAUGAAUUGCAAAACAAAGAAAAAUUGUGAGUCUUUGGUCUUCAAAUUUAUUGAACCAAUUUAGUCUGAUGUGAUUGUGAGCAGCUCUUCAUCAUAUUGCAAAACUCUUGAUAGUUGAUACUUCCAUCCUUAUGAAAACAAACAUGAUCCAAAACACUAAGCCAAUUUUUAAAUUAAUCAAACUAUGUUUGUAUUUACUACUUUAAUUACAAUAUAUAACUUACGUUAUCUGCAUCAACAUCAGAGAUAAUCUCCAUGAUCAUGGCAUCAUCUCCCAUAUUAUAUUCCUUCAUAGCCAUUUCUAAUUCUUGUCUUGUAAUAAAUCUAUCAGCACACAUUUAGCUGGUUAUUGAUCCUGUUUAGUUCUGGAAUAUAUGUGGUCGAUAUCGGUUUUCAAACGUACCCACUAUUAUCUUUAUCGAAGUGUUGAAAAGCUUUAAACAGAUCCUCCUCCCUUUCAACUCUGUACCGGUUCAUUGUAGCUGAGAUGAACUCAAUGUAAUCAAUUGUACCAUUCCCAUCGACAUCAGCCUAAAACAAAUACAUUAACCAAAGUAAUCCAUACUGGUUCAAUUCAAGGAAAAAUUAGAGAAUGGCAUGCCUUACAUCUUCCAAGAUCUGCUUAACUUCGGUUUCAGUUAACCUCGAACCAAGUUUUUCUAGUCCAGUUUUCAAUUCAUCGUACGUGAUUGUACCGCUUUUAUCUGUGUCCAUGUUUUCAAACAUCGUCUUGAGACCCUUUAGUUCCUCUUCUUUGAGAUUUUGUGCAAUAAACUGAAACCAAACUAUACCAAUGAAUCAAACCGAUCUAAUAUUCACCACUAAACAAAUCCUCGAGAAUACUUACUUUCAAUGCAAGCUUCUUAAGCUUGUUCAUAGCUCGAAAUUGCUUCAUCCGCGACAAAAUGGCACUAUCAAUCGGUUUAUCAGAAGCUUCUCCACCUUCUCGUAUCCAUGGAUGUUCUAGAUAAAGAAAAAUAAGAGUUGGUUCAGUUUCCUCAAUUCCAAACGUUAAACAGAAACAAACAGAGUAUACUAGUAACCUUACCUAGGACUUGAGCAGCAGUAUACCGACUCUUGGGAUCACUCUUUAACAUGUUCAUCACCAAAUCUUUAGCACUCUCAGAGAUUGACGGCCACGGUUUGGACUCAAAAUCAAUCUCUCCUCUCAAGAUCUCCUCAAAUAUCCCCUUAUCAGUCUCUACACAGAAAAAACAACAUUAGUAAACAUAAGAAAUUACAAAACAACACCAAGUGAUCCGGUUAAAGAGUACCGGCCCAAAACGGAGGAGUUCCACAGAGAAGUAUGUAGAGAAUAACUCCAGCGCUCCAAAUAUCAAUUUCUUUGCCAUAGUUUCUCUUCAGAACCUCUGGUGCAACAUAAUAUGCACUUCCUACAAUAUCUUUGUACACUUUCCCUAGGAAAAAUAAAUACUGUAUAACAAUUCUUGGGUUGCAAGAAAGUAUAAAGAUAGUUUCUUGCUUUGCAAGAAAUAAUUAGUGUUAUCCAUUUAUGAUUUGACCAUUGCUGAUGUUGGUUAUGCAUACCUUCUUCGAUGAACACUGAAACACCAAAAUCGGUAGCCUUAAGCAUUGCAGAAGCUUCAUCUUUACCAGAUAACAAGAAGUUUUCGGGUUUAAGAUCGCGAUGAAUCACACCCAUGAAAUGGCAAAUCUCUACAACUUUAACCACACAUCUUAUGAUCUCUGCGGCUGCUUUCUCUGAGUAAUGUCCUCUUUUACUAAUCUUAUCAAAGAGCUCACCGCCUUCACAAAGCUCCAUAACAAGAUGCACACUUUGUCUGUCUUCAUAAGCUCCUUUGAUCUCCACAAUAUUUGGUUGCCCUGAUAAAUACUGCAUUAUCUGUAUCUCUCUUCUUACAUCUUCUCUGUCCUGUAAUAUAAUUUCCCAAAAAAUUACUCAAAUUAACUAGAUUUUGGGUGUUUAUUAGGCUCUUACCUGAGUUCUGAUGAGUUUUCUCUUUAAGAUGGAUUUACAAGCGAAGUUCUUGCCUGAUGAGAUCUCUGUACAUAGAUACGUAAUACCGAAUUGGCCACGACCCAAUUCGCGACCAAGACUGUACGUCUCCUUAACGUCUUCAAAUGGUUUUCCUGAGAUCGGUUCUGGUUGGUGCAUUAGCUUUUGUUGUUCUUGAGGGUGAGAAAUCGGAACUGGAAGUGGGAGUUUAUGAGGCUGCACCACGAUCUGGAUAUUGGCUCUAGGAGCAGUUUGUCUUUGACGAAGGGGUUGUUUUUUAGUUGAUUCUCCGCUCUGGAACUCUGUGUUUUCUUGACCAUUGCCGACUGGUAUUGGUUUCUUGGGCUUCUUCUUAAAAUUGAUGCAGAGACAUGCCAUUUUUUUGAUGUAUUGAAGAAAGCGUUUUUAGGACAAAGACUUGAGAAAACUUGAUGUGUUUAAGGUAUGUUUCCAAUUCACAACGACACCUAAGCACGUUAGUGAAUUUGUUUAAGGCUUGCAUAUUUUGUUUUCUAUAGUUUUUAGAAGUCAAAUGUGUGAUAAAAUCUGGAACAACCUCACUAUUUAUUAUUUAUAUUAUUGUAAUUUUAAUAUUGGAGGGAAAUGCUGUUUUAUUAUUUAACAAAACUAUGUUACAGCUAUUUUUGGAAUCUUUGAAAUUUCCAACUGAAACUAACAUUGUGAUGGGCGUUAUACAUGGCAGGCAUGUUCUGUUAUCUAUAUGUGAUGAAUUUAUUAAGGGAAGUAAAUGGCUGAUAAAAAUUUAGUUAUAUAUUGUCAAACAUAAGUAAUUAUGUCUUCAGUAUAUGUAAAGUAUAUACGACUAGAGGGGGGUUAGUGGGAGUAGAAUUUUUAUAGAAUUGGUUUAUUCUAAAAGUCAAGAAAUUUGUUAAAUUUCUAAAGACUUAUAAAGAGUUUUUAAUAUUUAAAAAGUUUAUGAAAAUGUUCUAGUUCAAGGAUUUUAAGAAUCUAGAGGAAAUAUGCAAGAUUUUUGAAGUUUUGUUCUAUGAAUAAAAUUAUCUAAAAUUCAAUUUCCAAUAACAUUGAAUUUGACAGAAACUUAGAAUCAUUAAAAUCUAACUUUUUGAAUAAUAAGAGAAUUUGUAAGUCAUUAAACAAUCAUUAAACUAAUAACACUAGAUUUUAGUAAAAAUGAUAGAAUCCACCAACCAACAAAAAUAUAAUUUGAGAAUUUUAACAAUCACUACAAAUUCAUAUCCCACUAACACCCCCUAAAAGUUUACAGAGCUUUAGACUUUAAAGUUUUUGUGUUAUAAUAUAAUUAACUAGUGUUGAAAUUUUUUUUUGAAGUUUUCCUACCGUCGUAUACAAAGAGAGAAAUACCUAACUAUCUAAUUAUAUAAAGGAGUGUUUUACUCUCACUUCAUGCAAUCACGCCACGUGUCCACGCUUCGCUCCGCAUCAUUUCAUUAAAACGAAUUCGUUUUGGGCUUUUUUAUAAUCAGGAAGAUUUCGUGAUGGGCUUAUUAAUUAGUGUUUACAUUGUCUUAUGGAUUUACCAAAAACCAUAAUACGAAUUCACCAAAAAAAAAAAAACGAAAUCCUUCUUCUUCUUCUUUUUCGAUACGGCGGUGAUACUAGGACUUUCACGAUUCUUCUUUCGAUCUGAAACAGUUUAAUUAAUGGAUGUGUGGUAAAUCGAAUUGAUUCACCCCUCCACAAUUCAUCUUCAAUGCUUUGUGAAAGGCGGUCUGUAAACAGUAUAAAUAGAUGUGAAUAUUGCUCUGCUUGAACUCAUAAUCCCUUUAUAUCUCUCAGCUCUAUCUAAUUCACUGUAAUAUGGCUAAUACCAGAGUUUUCUUUUCUGAUCUGAAUUCCGGCGGCAAGUGUUCAUCCGCCGUCGAGGCUAUACUCCUGCGAUAUUGGGAGGCCCGAAUGUGGAGAUGACCAUCUCGGAUGCGACAAACUCGGCUGUGUUGUGGUGUUUUAUGCAGAAAUGUCUAAGUUAACAAAUGUGCGUGCGGCAGGAAGCGGGAGAGCUCAUGAACUAUGCAGUUGAUGCUCCUGUUGAGAUAUGUGAGAAGCUUGCUACUCCUGAAGCUGAAUGGCCACGAGCUAUUAGUGAAUUGUGCGGUUUGAUUCAUAUCGAAGAGGCUCUGUUCUAACACCGCAUGGAUAUAUAUAUAUAUGUUUUAGCUUUGUCUCAACAUUAAUGGAGUGAAAGAAGACACUGAAUGGAUGUCAAAGGUAACUCUUUUUCAUUGAGAUAGUAUUGUUCUUCUUGUGAUACUUUGUAUUAGUUUUAGUACUGUUAGACGAGUGUGUCUAAUGCCGUAAAACAUAUUAAAAUGGUGUUUGUUAGCUUAAAACGUCUGCGUUGUUCAAUCUGUUUAUAUACAUAAGUGCUUAUUUUAUUUUAGAUGUGUUCAUUCA